UACGGGGGGAGCAAGCGUUGUUCGGAUUUACUGGGCGUAAAGGGCGCGUAGGCGGUCAGCACAAGUCAGUUGUGAAAUCUCCGGGCUUAACUCGGAAAGGUCAACUGAUACUGUGCGACUAGAGUGCAGAAGGGGCAACUGGAAUUCUCGGUGUAGCGGUGAAAUGCGUAGAUAUCGAGAGGAACACCUGCGGCGAAGGCGGGUUGCUGGGCUGACACUGACGCUGAUGCGCGAAGCCAGGGGAGCGAACGGGAU
rnacentral:rRNA from 1 species